rnacentral:lncRNA from 1 species
AAAUCAUUUAAACUUACAGCAUAAGGCAUGAUCAUAAUCAUAGACAUAGAAAUAUGGAUCUGCUGUGAUUUGAUACUCUCCACUAUGCAUUACUGUGAUGGUCUUUACUCUUUACUAUAGUUCUUAACACAUGAAGUUUCUGUUUGGCAUAUUUUGUGUCUAAAAAGGGGGAGAGAAUUGUGCAUGAUGUUCUGACAUGCUUUGAAAUGAAUCUGUGAAGAGUAUUACAGUGUGUCUGAUGAAUCUGUGAAG